rnacentral:rRNA from 1 species
UACGUAGGGGCUAGCGUUGUCCGGAUUUAUGGGCGUAAAGAGCGUGUAGGCGGCCAGAUAGGUCUGCUGUGAAAACUCGAGGCUCAACCUCGAGCUGUCGGCGGAAACCAUUUGGCUAGAGUCCGGAAGAGGAAAGUGGAAUUCCUGGUGUAGCGGUGAAAUGCGCAGAUAUCAGGAAGAACACCCGUGGCGAAGGCGGCUUCCUGGCCUGUUCUUGACGCUGAGGCGCGAAAGCUAGGGGAGCAAACGGG